AUUCAUUCCCUCUAGAGCGCUCGACAAAUGUUUACUGAGUGCCCACGGGGUGCCUAGAGCCUGGCGGGACGUCGCGGGGAUGCGGCUGGAGGAAUCGGAGCCGGCCCUGCCCUCUCGGCACUCGCGGUCCGGACCAGGAAGGCGGCCCGAGCAGGACGGGUGGGCUGCGGACCGCGGUGGGAAAAGUUGGGGGAGCGCGGAGGUGGCGCGGAAAUAGAAGGCUUCCUGGAAGCGGUGACCCUUGAGCCGGUCUUGCCCCUCAGUCCCUGUAUCCUUUUAAGCCAGCCACGCUGACCCCUCCGCGCCUCCCUGAAGCCGUUGCCAGCCUGUCUCUGCGCUCGCCAUUCCCUCCGCCUGGACCUCUCCCCACUCACCACCUCCCGCCCCCAUCAGACGCUGCUUUCUCCUCCCAGAGACCUCCAAGACCUGCCAAGCUGAGGUUGUUUCCUCGCCUCGCCCCUCGCACGUUUGUUUUCUUUCCUGUAGUUUCUCUUGCUGUCUGGAAUUGCUGUUUGAGU
rnacentral:lncRNA from 1 species